AAGAAUGUUAAAACAAAACAAGUAAGGUAUAAAUAUUUAUCAAUAAUUUCUAUUUUAAGUUCAAAAUUAAUUUCUCUUAUUAAUCUCAUACAUCAUUUCACUUUAAGGUCAAUGAUUUUCUCUUUUAAUAAUGAUUUCUCCCUUAUUUUUAUAAUAAAUACCAGUGAAUUCAUUUUUUUUAAUUCUUCCUCUUUUUCUUUCAAAUCAUGCAUUUGCAUUUAAUUUUAAAGAAAUAAGUUUUGCAAGAAUAUAUUUUUCUCCCCCUUAGUUUGAUAAAUAAAGCAAAUAUUCAAUCAAGCAUAAAUAUAAAAUUCAAGCACAUUAAAUUUCCAUCA
rnacentral:lncRNA from 1 species